rnacentral:rRNA from 1 species
AUAAUACUCCAUAGAUUAGAGACACUGGAAUGUUCUUUAGUCGAAAGUUCUGGCGCCUUAGGAUGGAUCUGCGGUCGAUUAGGUUGUUGUUGGGGUAACGGCCCAACAAGCCUGUAAUCGAUACGGGUUGUGGGAGCAAGAGCCCGGAGAUGGAAUCUGAGUCACGAUUCCAGGCCCUACGGGGCGCAGCAGGCGCGAAAACUUUACAAUGCAGGAAACUGUGAUAAGGGAACUCCGAGUGCCCGUAUACGCGGGCUGUCCAGGUGUUUAAAAAUCAUCUGAAGAAAGGGCCGGGCAAGACCGGUGCCAGCCGCCGCGGUAAUACCGGCGGCUCGAGUGGUGGCCACUAUUAGUGGGCUUAAAGCGUCCGUAGCUGGACCGAUAAGUCUCUUGGGAAAUCCGCCGGCUCAACCGGCGGGCGUCUAAGGGAUACUGUUAGUCUAGGGACCGGGAGAGGUGAGAGGUACUCCGGGGGUAGGAGUGAAAUCCUGUAAUCCCCGGGGGACCACCGAUGGCGAAGGCAUCUCACCAGAACGGCUCCGACAGUGAGGGACGAAAGCUGGGGGAGCGAACCGGAUUAGAUACCCGGGUAGUCCCAGCCGUAAACUAUGCGCGUUAGGUGU